rnacentral:rRNA from 1 species
UACGGAGGGGGCUAGCGUUGUUCGGAAUUACUGGGCGUAAAGCGCACGUAGGCGGCUUUGCAAGUUAGAGGUGAAAGCCCGGGGCUCAACUCCGGAAUUGCCUUUAAAACUGCAUCGCUAGAAUUGUGGAGAGGUAAGUGGAAUUCCGAGUGUAGAGGUGACAUUCGUAGAUAUUCGGAAGAACACCAGUGGCGAAGGCGACUUACUGGACACAUAUUGACGCUGAGGUGCGAAAGCGUGGGGAGCAAACAGG